UACGGAGGGUGCAAGCGUUGUUCGGAUUUACUGGCGUAAAGCGCGCGCAGGUGGGGUGUACAAGUCGGAAGUGAAAUACUCGAGGGCUCAACCCUCCGAGGCUGCUCCCGAAACUGUACCGGCCUAGGGAUGGUAGAGGCGUGGUAGAAAUUCCCGGUGUAGCGGUGGAAUGCGUAGAGAAUCGGGAAGAAUACCUGUGGCGAAGGGCG
rnacentral:rRNA from 1 species